rnacentral:rRNA from 1 species
GAUGAACGCUAGCGGCAGGCCUAAUACAUGCAAGCCGAACGGUAAGAUUUGUAGCAAUACGAGUCCUAGAGUGGCGUAAGGGUGCGUAACACGUAUGCAAUCUGCCCGCAACUGGAGGAUAGCUCGGGGAAACCCGGAUUAACCCUCCAUAAGAUCACACAAUGGCAUCAAAGAGUGAUUAAAUCUCCGGAGGUUGCGGAUGAGCAUGCGGUUGAUUAGCUAGUUGGUAGUGUAACGGACUACCAAGGCAAUGAUCAAUAGGGGAACUGAGAGGUUGAACCCCCACACU